rnacentral:rRNA from 1 species
UACGGGGGGGGCAAGCGUUGUUCGGAAUUACUGGGCGUAAAGGGCUCGUAGGCGGCCAACUAAGUCAGACGUGAAAUCCCUCGGCUUAACCGGGGAACUGCGUCUGAUACUGGAUGGCUUGAGUUCGGGAGAGGGAUGCGGAAUUCCAGGUGUAGCGGUGAAAUGCGUAGAUAUCUGGAGGAACACCGGUGGCGAAGGCGGCCUGCUGGGCAGUAGCUGACACUGAGGCGCGACAGCGUGGGGAGCAAACAGG